rnacentral:rRNA from 1 species
GAACGCUAGCGGCAGGCCUAACACAUGCAAGUCAGGGGCAGCNCAAAAAGUAGCUUGCUACUUUUGGUGGCGACCGGCGCACGGGUGCGUAACGCGUAUGCAACUACCCAUAACAGGGGGAUAACACUGAGAAAUUGGUACUAAUACCCCAUAAUAUCAUUGAUGGCAUCAUUGAUGGUUGAAAACUCCGGUGGUUAUGGAUGGGCAUGCGUUGUAUUAGCUAGUUGGUGAGGUAACGGCUCACCAAGGCGACGAUACAUAGGGGGACUGAGAGGUUAACCCCCCACAUUGGUGCUGAGACACGGACCAAACUCCUACGGGAGGCAGCAGUGAGGAAUAUUGGUCAAUGGUCGAGAGACUGAACCAGCCAAGUAGCGUGCAGGAUGACGGCCCUCUGGGUUGUAAACUUCUUUUGUUUGGGAAUAAAAGACGCUACGUGUAGCGUUCUGCAUGUACCUUACGAAUAAGCAUCGGCUAAUUCCGUG